CAAAUGAUGCUGAAAUGUACAAGGAAGUUGGAACAAAUGAUGCUGAAAUAAACAAGUGUGAAAUGAAUAAAAAAGUUUCUUCAAUUGCUGAUAUUCUUGAGAACCACCAUACAAAGAAGAAAAGGAGCAGGACUACUUGCAAACGACUUGCUUGAGCCCUGGACUUGAUG